CGAAGCGUGCGAUUGGAUUGCACGUCUAAGCAGUAAGGCUGAGUAUUAGGCAAAUCCGGUACUCGUUAAGGCUGAGCUGUGAUGGGGAGAAGACAUUGUGUCUUCGAGUCGUUGAUUUCACACUGCCGAGAAAAGCCUCUAGAUAGAAAAUAGGUGCCCGUACCGCAAACCGACACAGGUAGUCAAGAUGAGAAUUCUAAGGUGAGCGAGCGAACUCUCGUUAAGGAACUCGGCAAAAUGACCCCGUAACUUCGGGAGAAGGGGUGCUCUUUAGGGUUAACGCCCAGAAGAGCCGCAGUGAAUAGGCCCAAGCGACUGUUUAUCAAAAACACAGGUCUCUGCUAAACCGUAAGGUGAUGUAUAGGGGCUGACGCCUGCCCGGUGCUGGAAGGUUAAGAGGAGUGGUUAGCUUCUGCGAAGCUACGAAUCGAAGCCCCAGUAAACGGCGGCCGUAACUAUAACGGUCCUAAGGUAGCGAAAUUCCUUGUCGGGUAAGUUCCGACCCGCACGAAAGGCGUAACGAUUUGGGCACUGUCUCAACGAGAGACUCGGUGAAAUCAUAGUACCUGUGAAGAUGCAGGUUACCCGCGACAGGACGGAAAGACCCCGUGGAGCUUUACUGUAGCCUGAUAUUGAAAUUCGGCACAGCUUGUACAGGAUAGGUAGGAGCCUUUGAAACGUGAGCGCUAGCUUACGUGGAGGCGCUGGUGGGAUACUACCCUAGCUGUGUUGGCUUUCUAACCCGCACCACUUAUCGUGGUGGGAGACAGUGUCAGGCGGGCAGUUUGACUGGGGCGGUCGCCUCCUAAAAGGUAACGGAGGCGCUCAAAGGUUCCCUCAGAAUGGUUGGAAAUCAUUCAUAGAGUGUAAAGGCAUAAGGGAGCUUGACUGCGAGACCUACAAGUCGAGCAGGGUCGAAAGACGGACUUAGUGAUCCGGUGGUUCCGCAUGGAAGGGCCAUCGCUCAACGGAUAAAAGCUACCCCGGGGAUAACAGGCUUAUCUCCCCCAAGAGUUCACAUCGACGGGGAGGUUUGGCACCUCGAUGUCGGCUCAUCGCAUCCUGGGGCUGUAGUCGGUCCCAAGGGUUGGGCUGUUCGCCCAUUAAAGCGGUACGCGAGCUGGGUUCAGAACGUCGUGAGACAGUUCGGUCCCUAUCCGUCGUGGGCGUAGGAAAUUUGAGAGGAGCUGUCCUUAGUACGAGAGGACCGGGAUGGACAUACCUCUGGUGUACCAGUUGUCGUGCCAACGGCAUAGCUGGGUAGCUAUGUGUGGACGGGAUAAGUGCUGAAAGCAUCUAAGCAUGAAGCCCCCCUCAAGAUGAGAUUUCCCAACUUCGGUUAUAAGAUC
rnacentral:rRNA from 1 species